rnacentral:lncRNA from 1 species
GCUGAAUUGCAGUGACAUGAUCGCAGAUCACUACAACCUUGACCUCCCUGGAAUCAAGCCAUCCUCCCAUUUUAGCUUCCCAAGUCGUUGGGACUACAGGGAUGUGCCACUGUGCCCAGCUGAACUGGAUAGGGCCUUUGGAUAGGCUGAUGCUAUGGAGUUGGAAUCUUCAGCUAGAGGAUGAGCCAAUCAAAGUCGUAAAGGGAAGCCAUAUGUCGCACACUUGGAAGUCCAUGUGUAAACAUCAAGUUGAGAGUGGCAGAGGCAAGAUCAAGACCAAGAUCUCAGCACCAAGGAAGAUGAGAAAUUGGCUGCUGAUGCCAUGGUGGUGUCAUUGGAGGCACCCGUGGUCAAAGGGCCUGUGCAUACCUCUGCUUUGA